rnacentral:lncRNA from 1 species
GUAAGACUUCCCCUCAUAAGGGCAGAGUGAGGACUUGCACGAAAUGAGCUUCCUUCAUAGGAAAGAAACAGGAGUGUAGAAGAAAUGUUCCCCUCUACCAGUUAGUUUAUGCCUUAAAUAAAGAAGAAAAUAAAGCAAUCUGUUUAGAAUCAGAUAGAGGACGUGGGAGGAAAACAUUAUUGCCUUGGGAAUGGUGACAGUGUUUAUGAUCAUCAUUUGGGCUAGCAGAAAGAAAAUGUCUUUCCAGCAGUGAGAGCCCAGUCAAGGCUGGAAGUCACAGGUUUGCAGGACCAUCCAGCUACGGCUCUGUGGUCUUCAGCCAUCAUCAUUGGUCUGGGAUUGGGCAGAGAACCAAGGGAGAUUGUCUCGCUGGUAAGUUUCAGGAAAGGAGUCAGCCAAAUGAAAUCUAGCUGAGAGUCAGGGUGAGGCUGAGUGAUGCCCACUGGAUUUAGUAACUUGGACGUCAUUAAGUGUGCUUCUGCUUUGAUAGGUAAUCGGGUAGAACCAGACUGGAAUCAGUCAAAAGGCUGAAGAGAAAGUGAAACAUUGAGACAACAUACAUAAACAACUUUUUUGAGAGAGAUUUUCCUGUGAAAGGAAUAGAAAAGUGGCACAGUAUCAAGGAGAUGUGCAGAUAAUAAAGGAGGAUUUUUGUUUGGAUUAGUUUUAUCUUUGAAUAGGGAAAGUCAGAGAAUAUAUGAAUAAUAGGGAAGCAAGCAGUAGGGAAGAAGGUGUUGAAGGUGCAGGUGAAAAAGAUAAAUACCUAUUUAAAGUAUUUUAGUCCUGAAAUUUACUGAACUGCGUAAGGAAAACUAGAAAUUAUUCUUUGGUGUUCUGUGGGGAAAAUGUUUUUAAGUUCUUUUAAAUUCAAUUCGCUUAACAUUUAAAUUUUUUUUCUUUAGAAUGCAUCAGGAAUUUAUGCAGAAAUAGAUGGAGCCAAAAAUGAGCUACAAGGAAAACUGUCCAACCUAAGUAACCUCCGUCAUGAUCUAGUCCAAGAAGCUAUUGACCGUGCACAGAAUCUUCAACAAGAAGCUGAGGAGUUGAGCAGAAAUUUGCACAAUUCAGAUAUGAAUGGGCUAGUGCAGAAGGCUUUGAAUGCAUCAAAUGUCUACGAAAACAUUGUCAAUUAUGUUGAUGAAGCCAAUAAAACAGCAGAAUUGGCUUUGAAUAUAACUGAUCGAAUUUACGAUGUGAGUAUUCCCUUGUUUUAGGGUUUGUUUAUACAUUGUCUCUUCCCAUUUUGGCUUUUUUGUUUUUUAAUUCAUCUCUUGUGCUUCCAAAGUAAAGUAAAAAUGGCAUAAAGUGCCAAGGGACUAAGAA